GACGAACGCUGGCGGCGUGCUUAACACAUGCAAGUCGAACGGAAAGGCCCUGCUUUUGUGGGGUGCUCGAGUGGCGAACGGGUGAGUAACACGUGAGUAACCUGCCCUUGACUUUGGGAUAACUUCAGGAAACUGGGGCUAAUACCGGAUAGGAGCUCCUGCUGCAUGGUGGGGGUUGGAAAGUUUCGGCGGUUGGGGAUGGACUCGCGGCUUAUCAGCUUGUUGGUGGGGUAGUGGCUUACCAAGGCUUUGACGGGUAGCCGGCCUGAGAGGGUGACCGGCCACAUUGGGACUGAGAUACGGCCCAGACUCCUACGGGAGGCAGCAGUGGGGAAUAUUGCACAAUGGGCGGAAGCCUGAUGCAGCAACGCCGCGUGCGGGAUGACGGCCUUCGGGUUGUAAACCGCUUUCGCCUGUGACGAAGCGUGAGCGACGGUAAUGGGUAAAGAAGCACCGGCUUACUACGUG
rnacentral:rRNA from 1 species